ACAGAGGGCAUUGGACCUGCAGAGUUCCAUGUCACCAUGGGAUGGGUAACAGAGCCAUGUCAGGAUGGAUGUCUCCUGGCCACCAGGAGAUCUGGGACUGACAGCCUUGUCCUGAGGUGGGGAGAGCACCAGGCCCAGGCCAGAACACAACUGGACCAUGGCACACUCCUGUCCCUCUUCAGCCACUCUGCUUGAGGUCAGUGCAGCUCUCUGGAGUAACAUUGCCGUAGGGAUGAGGAAAGCCCCCAGUCCCUGCCUGCACUGCAGUGCAGCCUCCCAGAGGCUGAAGGCGCCCCACUCUGCAACAACCACCCUCCCUGUUCCUGUGUGAAAAUCUCAAAAUAAAAAUUCCUGAUUGAUUAACCCA